rnacentral:rRNA from 1 species
UACGUAGGUCCCGAGCGCUGUCCGGAUUUAUUGGGCGUAAAGCGAGCGCAGGUGGUUUAUUAAGUCUGGUGUAAAAGGCAGUGGCUCAACCAUUGUAUGCAUUGGAAACUGGUAGACUUGAGUGCAGGAGAGGAGAGUGGAAUUCCAUGUGUAGCGGUGAAAUGCGUAGAUAUAUGGAGGAACACCGGUGGCGAAAGCGGUUCUCUGGCCUGUAACUGACGCUGAGGUUCGAAAGCGUGGGUAGCAAACAGG